GGGAAUCUACCUGGAACUACGGAACAACUGAGGGAAACUUCAGCUAAUACCGUAUACGCCCUAUGGGGGAAAGAUUUAUCGGUUUCAGAUGAGCCCGCGUAAGAUUAGCUAGUUGGUGGGGUAAUGGCCUACCAAGGCGACGAUCUUUAGCUGGUCUGAGAGGAUGAUCAGCCACACUGGGACUGAGACACGGCCCAGACUCCUACGGGAGGCAGCAGUGGGGAAUAUUGGACAAUGGGCGCAAGCCUGAUCCAGCCAUGCCGCGUGAGUGAUGAAGGCCUUAGGGUUGUAAAGCUCUUUCAGUGGGGAAGAUAAUGACGGUACCCACAGAAGAAGCCCCGGCUAACUUCGUGCCAGCAGCCGCGGUAAUACGAAGGGGGCUAGCGUUGUUCGGAUUUACUGGGCGUAAAGCGCACGUAGGCGGUUUGUUAAGUCAGGGGUGAAAUCCCACAGCUCAACUGUGGAACUGCCUUUGAUACUGGCAAGCUAGAGUCCGGAAGAGGUAAGUGGAACUCCUAGU
rnacentral:rRNA from 1 species